UGGGGAAUAUUGCACAAUGGGCGCAAGCCUGAUGCAGCCAUGCCGCGUGUAUGAAGAAGGCCUUCGGGUUGUAAAGUACUUUCAGCGGGGAGGAAGGGAGUAAAGUUAAUACCUUUGCUCAUUGACGUUACCCGCAGAAGAAGCACCGGCUAACUCCGUGCCAGCAGCCGCGGUAAUACGGAGGGUGCAAGCGUUAAUCGGAAUUACUGGGCGUAAAGCGCACGCAGGCGGUUGAUUGAGUCAGAUGUGAAAUCCCCGGGCUUAACCCGGGAAUUGCAUCUGAUACUGGUCAGCUAGAGUCUUGUAGAGGGGGGUAGAAUUCCAUGUGUAGCGGUGAAAUGCGUCGAGAUGUGGAGGAAUACCGGUGGCGAAGGCGGCCCCCUGGACAAAGACUGACGCUCAGGUGCGAAAGCGUGGGGAGCAAACAGG
rnacentral:rRNA from 1 species